UNUCAGGCCUAACACAUGCAAGUCGAGCGCACCUUUUCGGAGGUGAGCGGCGCACGGGGAGUAACGCGUGGGAACCUACCCUGGGGUAGGGGAUAACCGCUGGAAACGGCGGCUAAUACCCUAUACGUCCUUCGGGAGAAAGAUUUAUCGCCCUGGGAUGGGCCCGCGUCGGAUUAGCUAGUUGGUGGGGUAAAGGCUCACCAAGGCGACGAUCCGUAGCUGGUCUGAGAGGAUGAUCAGCCACACUGGGACUGAGACACGGCCCAGACUCCUACGGGAGGCAGCAGUGGGGAAUAUUGGACAAUGGGCGCAAGCCUGAUCCAGCCAUGCCGCGUGAGUGAAGAAGGCCUUAGGGUUGUAAAGCUCUUCACCCGCGAAGAUGAUGACNGUAGCNG
rnacentral:rRNA from 1 species